CAGAAGAAUCAUCUAAGACAGACUGGAGGGCUCUUGUUCUCGAGGGCUGAACCCAAACAUAAACAAGAGAUUGUCAGGUUACUUAAAGAUGAUGGAGAAGUGGUUGCCAUGACUGGAGAUGGAGUCAAUGAUGCUCCUGCCCUGAAGUUGGCUGAUAUUGGUGUCGCUAUGGGCAUUUCUGGAACAGAGGUAGCGAAGGAGGCAUCUGACAUGGUGUUGGCAGAUGAUAAUUUCAGCACAAUUGUUGCAGCUGUUGGUGAAGGCAGGUCCAUCUAUAAUAACAUGAAGGCCUUCAUCAGGUACAUGAUCUCUUCCAACAUCGGUGAG